rnacentral:rRNA from 2 species
GACGAACGCUGGCGGCGUGCCUAAUACAUGCAAGUCGAGCGGACAGAUGGGAGCUUGCUCCCUGAUGUYAGCGGCGGACGGGUGAGUAACACGUGGGUAACCUGCCUGUAAGACUGGGAUAACUCCGGGAAACCGGGGCUAAUACCGGAUGCUUGAUUGAACCGCAUGGUUCAAUUAUAAAAGGUGGCUUUUAGCUACCACUUACAGAUGGACCCGCGGCGCAUUAGCUAGUUGGUGAGGUAACGGCUCACCAAGGCAACGAUGCGUAGCCGACCUGAGAGGGUGAUCGGCCACACUGGGACUGAGACACGGCCCAGACUCCUACGGGAGGCAGCAGUAGGGAAUCUUCCSCAAUGGACGAAAGUCUGACGGAGCAACGCCGCGUGAGUGAUGAAGGUUUUCGGAUCGUAAAACUCUGUUGUUAGGGAAGAACAAGUACCGUUCGAAUAGGGCGGYACCUUGACGGUACCUAACCAGAAAGCCACGGYUAACUACKUGC